rnacentral:rRNA from 1 species
UGAACGCUGGCGGCGUGCUUAACACAUGCAAGUCGAACGCUGAAGCUCCCAGCUUGCUGGGGGUGGAUGAGUGGCGAACGGGUGAGUAUCACGUGAGUAACCUGCCCUUGACUCUGGGAUAAGCCCGGGAAACUGGGUCUAAUACUGGAUAGGACUGGCCAUCGCAUGGUGGUUGGUUGAAAGCUUUUGCGGUUUUGGAUGGACUCGCGGCCUAUCAGCUUGUUGGUGGGGUAAUGGCCUACCAAGGCUUUGACGGGUAGCCGGCCUGAGAGGGUGACCGGCCACACUGGGACUGAGACACGGCCCAGACUCCUACGGGAGGCAGCAGUGGGGGAUAUUGCACAAUGGGCGCAAGCCUGAUGCAGCGACGCCGCGUGAGGGAUGACGGCCUUCGGGUUGUAAACCUCUUUCAGUUGGGAAGAAGCCUUUCGGGGUGACGGUACCUUCAGAAGAAGCACCGGCUGACUACGUGCCAGCCGCAGC